UAACUGAUGUGUUCAACUUAA
rnacentral:piRNA from 1 species